ACCCACAGCUCUAUGUCUCUUUUUAUUCAUUCACUUGAUUCCCAGGGUGUAGAUUAGAUCGACCGACCUCACGAGUGCGCCGCGGAGUUCCUCGCCGCCACCAAGACCUGGAGUUCCUCACUGCCACCACCGCUGCCCGUAGCUUGCAAGGGUCAUUGCGGUUUUGCCUUCAUUAGCUGCUGGAGAAUAAAGUUGGAGCUAGCUCUAAGAAAAAUCACUAUGGAAGGCCCCUGAAUAUACUGCAAUGGGAAUAAACCCCAAAACACAAGAAUAUCAUGUCCAGUAUCAACUUGCUGAUGAAUCGAAAGAUGCAAGGUUGC